rnacentral:rRNA from 1 species
UACGAAGGGGGCUAGCGUUGCUCGGAAUCACUGGGCGUAAAGCGCACGUAGGCGGACUCUUAAGUCGGGGGGUGAAAUCCUGGAGCUCAACUCCAGAACUGCCUUCGAUACUGAGAGUCUUGAGUCCGGGAGAGGUGAGUGGAACUGCGAGUGUAGAGGUGAAAUUCGUAGAUAUUCGCAAGAACACCAGUGGCGAAGGCGGCUCACUGGCCCGGUACUGACGCUGAGGAGCGAAAGCCAGGGGGAGCAAAACGGGG